CACUCCUAACAGCUAGCCCAACCUAAAAACUCAACAACCCACAUUAAUAACCCCAAAACCCCGUUUAUUAUUUAAACAAAUCAUUUUUCCUCCUUAGUAUGGGAGACAGAAAAGGACCUAGGCGCCAUAAAGAAAGUACCGCAAGGGAAAGCUGAAAGAGAAGUGAAAAAACGCAGUAAAGAGUAAAAAAGCAAAGACUAACCCUUGUACCUUUUGCAUCAUGAAUUAGCUAGUCAGUCCAAGCAAAGCGAUCCUUUAUGUUUGAGACCCCGAAACUAAGCGAGCUACUCCGAGACAGCCUAUUAUAGGGCGAACCCGUCUCUGUGGCAAAAGAGUGGGAAGAUCUUUGAGUAGAGGUGACAGACCUACCGAGCUUAGUUAUAGCUGGUUGCCUGAGAAUCGAAUAAAAGUUCGACCUUUUGAUUUCUUCAACCAAAAAAGGUUUUACCAACCCCCGGCUAAAAGAAAACAAAAGAGCAAUUCAGAGGAGGGACAGCUCCCCUGAAAAAAGAUACAACUUUAUUAGAUGGUAAAAGAUUAAAUGAAAAAAGGCAAUGUAUUAAAGUGGGCCUAAAAGCAGCCAUCUCAUUAGAAAGCGUUAAAGCUCAAGUACUAAAACCCCAGAAUUCUAAAUAUAAACUCUUUAACCCCUAGAACUUAUCAGGCCCUUCCAUGCAUACAUGGAAAAGAAACUGCUAAUAUGAGUAAUAAGAAGGAUAUGACCUUCUCCAAUGCACCCGUGUAAUCAGAACAGACUCUAACUGAAAAUUAACGCCCCCAAUAAUAACAGAGGGAAGUAGGAUAAACUAAUUAAACCUAGAAAACCCCCCAAACCAAAGCGUUGAGCCCACACAGGCGUGCCUAAGGAAAGACAUAAAGAAAAAGAAGGAACUCGGCAAACACUGGCCUCGCCUGUUUACCAAAAACAUCGCCUCUUGCACCAACUAGUAUAAGAGGUCCCGCCUGCCCUGUGACGAAAGUUUAACGGCCGCGGUAUUUUGACCGUGCGAAGGUAGCGUAAUCACUUGUCUUUUAAAUAAAGACCUGUAUGAAUGGCAUAACGAGGGCUAAACUGUCUCCUUUUUCUAGUCAAUGAAAUUGAUCUGUCCGUGCAGAAGCGGACAUAAAAGCAUAAGACGAGAAGACCCUAUGGAGCUUAAGACACAAGAACAGACUGCAUUUUAACCCCUUAAUAAAAAGAGCGAAACCAAGCAACACCUGCUCUAAUGUCUUUGGUUGGGGCGACCGCGGGGAAACAAAAAACCCCCAUGUGGAAUGGGAAUAAAAACCACAAAGCCAGAGCUACAGCUCUAACAAACAGAAAUUCUGACCAACAAGAUCCGGCAAAGCCGAUCAACGGACCGAGUUACCCUAGGGAUAACAGCGCAAUCCUCUUCUAGAGUCCAUAUCGACAAGAGGGUUUACGACCUCGAUGUUGGAUCAGGACAUCCUAAUGGUGCAGCCGCUAUUAAGGGUUC
rnacentral:rRNA from 1 species